rnacentral:rRNA from 1 species
GCUAAACGCGAAGAACCUUACCAAGGCUUGACAUGGAUUUCUAAGCACGUGAAAGCGUGUGACCCUUCGGGGGACUUCCACAGGUGCUGCAUGGCCGUCGUCAGCUCGUGUCGUGAAAUGUUGGGUUAAGUCCCGUAACGAGCGCAACCCUUGUCCUUAGUUACCAGCACGUUAUGGUGGGCACUCUAAGGAGACUGCCGGUGACAAACCGGAGGAGGGUGGGGAUGACGUCAAGUCAUCAUGGCCCUUACGGCCGUGGGCUACACACGUGCUACAAUGGUCGGUACAGAGGGUUGCCAAGCCGCGAGGUGGAGCUAAUCUCACAAAACCGAUCGUAGUCCGGAUCGCAGUCUGCAACUCGACUGCGUGAAGUCGGAAUCGCUAGUAAUCGCGGAUCAGAACGCCGCGGUGAAUA